AAUAUGUAAAAAGAUGUGUUAGAGAGAGGACAGUGAUCUAAAAGUGCUUGAGGUGAUUACAGAAUUUCAUCUACGACAUCGUGUCUUUCUUUUACAUUAUAAAUGUCAUUAAAUUAAUACCUGGGAAAAACUUGAAAAUGUACGAAUAAACAUCAUAAAUAGGCACGUAGUGUAAGUACCUGUCUAAUUUGACCUUCCUAGAAUUGCGGACACAAAAGAAGAGUUUUGCUUCUAAUUGUUCGACAAACAUUUUGCAUCUUUUAUGAGUGAUGCCCUAUCAAUUUGAGAGUUUUAGUCCGAACAAAGUAAAGUAAACUUAUCAGGUUAAGAAAAUGGGAUUUGAAAUGGCAAUUUUCUGAUGAUGCUAGGGUUGGACAAGGUUGUGAUAUAUGUACAACCAAAUAGAAGAAAGUGAUACCUAUAUUUAAAAUAAUUUUUCUUUCAUUGUAGGUAUAAGGUAGUGAGAGUUGUCUAAAACACUGAAGUUGUAGAUGAAAUCCUUGGAAAAUACAGAAUGAUAGAAAAAGAAAAAAAUCUGUGACUGCUCUGCUAAGGUUCUGGACGGACUCAUUUCUAUUAGAAAUGUGUUCAACAGAUAAGAGGGUGCAAAAGGAAAAAAAUCGAAACUAUACUUACUUUUAAAGCUUCUCAGAUGUGAGAUUCGCCAAACAAACUGCAGUUAAUGAGAACAAAUAAGCUCACACUAACAAAUCACGGCACUAAAUUCUUGAUAAAAAGCAUAAUUAAAGCCACACAUUUAAAGAAAAUUAAAAGCAUUAGUCAAUUCACAGUAUCCUAAAAAAGCAGGAUUUAAUCAAUAUGGAUUUGAAAUUUUACAAAAAUUAAUAAAGGCACUUCAAGGGAUGAAUUUUUAAAAUAUUUAAACGAAUAAAUUCGAAGUUACUAUAUCAUCUUUUGAAAGGAGGAGACUUUAAAACGUAGAAAAGAACAGUCUUUUGUAUUUUCAAGUUUCAGCAGAUAAUUUGAAAGCACCUGAAAAACUAUCAAAAUUUAACUUCCUUGGAAAGGCAGCAAUGCAGCAUAUUUUAAAGCAACUUUUUGAUAAAAUACACAGAUGCUUAUUGUAUUUACGACCAAAGAGUUGAAAAACCGAAAGUAGUGGGCAAAAAAAGUUAGACAAGGACACAGGCCUCUUUUGUUGUGGUAGUUGUUAAGCUUGUUCUACAACUAAGAGAUCCUGGAUUUAAUUUCUGGUCAGGGUAAUCAUGGUCUAAAACAAUGGAUUAAGUGGGGUGGAGAUUUGUCUCUGGAACUAUCUAGUCUGGGGAACGAGAACAAGAGAGCAAAGGAACUUUCUCCUAAGCAUCAAACUGUCUAAUGCUUCAAAAACUUGAGAUUGCGACACUAAAAAAUAAUUAGUUGUAUAAGAAUUUAACAAUAACUGUUAAGAGAAGGCAACGGAAUUUUAGCAACAUUUAAAACUUAAAAGCAGUCUACAUUUGUGUAAAAAAUAAUCCUACUGUGAUAUUUUGUCAAAAACCAUUGAUCCUUCCCCAAAAUCAGUGUGUUUAAGUAAUGACGAAUGGUCAAAAAUACUAUGAGCAGUUGGAUAAAUCGAUUAAUAAGUAUCUAAAAGAGGAAGAUUUUUGAGUUUCUUUAUGGUCAAUUGACUCUUCUGCAAAAUGUAGUUGAUGGAAUAAGAAGACGGAGAAUACAUUUUGAGAAUUUCAGUAACUGAUUGAAUAAACUUUACAAGUCAAAGCAGAAGAGUGUCUUUAAAAAUAUUAUCUGGUGAACGAAUUCUAACAUGAAGCUGACCUUUUUGAGCUGCAACUGAUCAAGUAGAGAUGAGAAGGUUCCAAAGUAAAAUUACAUUGAAAUCUUAACCACAAUGGUUUUCUUCAAAUUGACUUUUGGAGCAUUUUAAACUCACUAUAACCAUGAGUAAUUUGUUAGAAAGCAGAAGUUUAAUUUUAAUAUAAAAAAGAGGUCCUUUUUUGCACCACACAUAAAUAAGCAGCAAUAAGCAGUAAAUAAAAGCAUGAAAACUAUUUUGGGAGACUUGAUGGGUAUAAUGAACAGUCCGUACAAUAAAAUAAGACAAAAAUAAAAAAGGGAAAGAGAAAUCAAUCAAAAUAAAUAGUCAAAAAGAAUCAGGAACCAAAUUCCAUUGACCAGCAUGGGUUACAACUAGAUCGACCCACCCACAAGGCUAGCAUAAGCUCCCUUAUUAUCUGACCCCACUGGGUUUGAAGGGUAUGUUUAAUUUAUUUACGUCUUACAACAUCUAACAAAAUUCGGGUCUAAAAUUUAAUAGGAAUUUUUUCAAAAUUCGUGCUGCUUAAAAAUUGCUUGUACAGGUUCAGAAGCUUCAAAUCUGUUGUGUACUUUCAGGACUAAAUGGGAAAAUGAACGAGUACUAUCUCAGAUCAGAACUCAACAGUGAUUGCAUUUAGUGAUAACUAGGCUUGAAGUAAUAAGGUGGUAAAGUAGUGUUCAGUCCACACUAUUCUGCGGGACAAAUUGAGGCAAAAAAUUCUAAAAAUUAGCAUUAGAGUUAAAAAAUGAACUGUGACACUAAUUUAUGGCCUUCAUUUCCCUGCAGAAUGGUAUGGGCUCAGCAUAAUUCUACCACUCUGUUACUUACAGCAUUCAGGCCAAAUUUUAAGUAUUUUUUUCUUGUCGGAACUUAAAAUGUACGUGAAAUUUUAAAUGCUCCUUUUUAUGUAGUUUUGGCAAAAAAGUAAUUCAUUAAUAAUACGUAGAAAAACAUACGCUUCAAUUCAGACUUGGAAUUCUUCCUGAUUACGAGCAGGAGAUAAAAUUACUUCCAUUUUAGAGGCAAUAUGAAUUGAGCAUGGUUGCUACUAAUAGGCGUUGUGUAUCUUCCUAUAUAAUCAUGAUGAACUUUGAAACGAAUGUUCAGGAAAAUGUCAAUUCUACUCUGACAGUAGAUCCCCAUUAAUAGGUACUGUCAGAUAGGUGAGUACAUUUUUUAUCUGGUUAUGCCUCACGCAAAAAAACCAGAGAACUCCUGCAUUCAUUUCUACACUUCCAUAAGUGCACACACAUAAAAAGUGCAACAAAACAAAUUUUGGAGUACACAAUCGUCAUCAAAUUUCAGUGAUUAAUCUUAUUUUUUCAAGAGUUUCCGUUUUAAUAAAAAUAUGCUGGAAACAGCUUGGUUACAUACAUGGUAAAUAGAGCAGAAUUGUUGAUGCAUUCAGUCCUGACUGAUAUGCAAUCAAAUUUAUAGAGCUGAACGUAUUUUAACCAGUUCUUGGUAGAUACGUAAAACACUUUAAAAAAAAUUUCGUCAAGACUUGAGAGAAGAUCUGAAUCUUUUAGCUUAUGACUUACUUUAACAUUUUUGACUAAUCUAUUAGCUUAGCAACUCAAGUCAUUCAAUAAAUAAAACUGUUUUGGAAAAGAAAAAAAUUAAUGAACUUUUGGCAACACUAAAAUUUCUUACAAUAAACAACCCAUUUAAAAGCAUAAAAUAUAUGAUUGAAUGCAAUUAUGCAA